UUAGGCACAUUUUAGCCAUGUAUAUGUAACAAAAAAGGGGGAACAAGAAAGAUAUUUAAUAAUUGCUCUAGUCUAGCCCCCCCCCCCGUGCCGGAUGGUCCGUUCCGGUUGUUCGCGCGGGCGCCUGCCUGACGCAGUUUGACAGAUUUGAGCAUGGCUCCCGCCCGUGCCCGUGCAUCACUUUCAGGGGCAAUGCUAAGAUACAUAUGAGGAGGAGCACAAGGCUAAGAGGAAGAUACAGAUGACGAGCAGGAGGAGCAGCCAUGUACAAGCAGUUCAGGCACACAUCAACCCCAGCCGGACAGCAGGUCUGUAGACUCCACAAUAGGACCAAGCCCUGAUCAACCACCCUCAUCCAGCAGUUUAGGGACAGAUACACAACAGAUAACCACCACCUCUGAAAGCACAAGUCCUGUCAUUGAGAGUCCAUCAGCAGGUGACAAUGUAGAGACCUGUGUGCCCCUUCCAACUGAUCCUGCUUUUUGGCCAAAGCGACAAAGUGACAUUGAAUUUGCAAAAAAAAAAAGUCUGGAUUAUUUUGAUAAUUUUUUUAUUUUGCUAUUCUGUUUACUGUUUACAAAGUCAGCAAAGCUGUGAAGAUUUUACUUUCUCUUUUUAGUGUUCUUAAGUUUUAUACUGUGAUGCUGCUAUUGUGUGUUAUUGGUAUUGAGUUAUGUUUGGUAAUAAAAAGUUAAACUGGCAAAAA